GCGCAGCAGGCGCGAAUCUUCCACAAUGGGGGAAACCCUGAUGGAGCGACGCCGCGUGCGGGAUGAAGGCCCUAUGGGUUGUAAACCGCUGUUCAGUGGAAAGAACAUCCUCCGGCUGAAUAGGUCGGAGGCCUGACGUUACCACUGCAGAAAGUCCCGGCCAACUCCGUGCCAGCAGCCGCGGUAAUACGGGGGGGACGAGCGUUGUCCGGAAUCAUUGGGCGUAAAGGGCGCGUAGGCGGCGAGGAAAGUCGAACGUGAAAUCUUGCGGCUCAACUGCAAAACUGCGUUCGAAACUCCUCGCUUGAGUAUGAGAGAGGUGUGCGGAAUUCCUGGUGUAGCGGUGGAAUGCGUAGAU
rnacentral:rRNA from 1 species